rnacentral:rRNA from 1 species
UACGGAGGGGACUAGCGUUGUUCGGAAUUACUGGGCGUAAAGCGCACGUAGGCGGAUUUGUAAGUCAGGGGUGAAAUCCCGGGGCUCAACCUCGGAACUGCCUUUGAUACUGCAAAUCUCGAGUCCGGAAGAGGUGAGUGGAAUUCCUAGUGUAGAGGUGAAAUUCGUAGAUAUUGGGAAGAACACCGGUGGCGAAGGCGGCGCUCUGGACCGAGACUGACGCUGAGGCGCGAAAGCGUGGGGAGCAA